rnacentral:rRNA from 1 species
UACGAAGGGGGCUAGCGUUGCUCGGAAUCACUGGGCGUAAAGCGCACGUAGGCGGCUUUUUAAGUCAGGGGUGAAAUCCUGGAGCUCAACUCCAGAACUGCCUUUGAUACUGAGAGCUUGAGUCCGGGAGAGGUGAGUGGAACUGCGAGUGUAGAGGUGAAAUUCGUAGAUAUUCGCAAGAACACCAGUGGCGAAGGCGGCUCACUGGCCCGGUACUGACGCUGAGGUGCGAAAGCGUGGGGAGCA